AGACAACUAUUUGGGAUGCUAGGACAAGGAAGUAAUGCUGCAAAUGAUUUGUUUGAUUGAUUGCUUGUGUGUAUUUAGUAGGUUUAGUUGGCUAAUUUUUACUCGUCUAUUUAUCAGUCUCUUUCUUUAUAUUUGGCAGUUUUUUAGUUAUAAAUAUUAUUUUGUACCAGUCCGUGAGAACUGUAUUGGAAAAUCUUGGGAACCAUGAAGUAUAGGUGCUUCUUAAUUGAUCUGCUGGCUUCAUGUUCCUGCCACAUCUGUUGUACAGGGGACAUUGUGACAUUUUACCUUGAUCAGGCUGCAUUUGCAUCUUGAGGGGAUUAAAGAUGGUCAACAGAUGGUAUCUUUUAAAGCUUCUCCUGCUUUGAAAUCUGCAAACAAUGGGUUGAAAGGAAUGAUGAAAACUGUGAAGAUUCGGGACAGAGAUGCAUGAUCUCCCCUUACUCUUUUCUCAGUUUCCAUGUUUGUUAGCUUUAAAGCCUUGUAAUAAGGACGAGUCACUUAAAUUAAAUUGCGAAUUUCAGUAAGUGUUUGUAUCUGUGUGAAUGAUGCUCAUGGAUUCAACUAGUUUUAAAGAUCUAUCUGCUAAUUACACAAUAUACUAUUAAAAAGUUGUUUUAUAUUGUAAUCUUUUACAAUAUACAAUUAAAAUGAAAUGAUUUAUUUUAUUAUUUAAAAUAUUUGUGUGGCAUUGGUCGGUUAUGACUUUUAAAAGGACUCUCUAGCACCUUGUAUUUUUCAGACAGGGAUUCACUCAUCAGUGUCCAAGUUACGUAGCUCUUGUGCUGCUUUUGGCUCAAGGCCAUUUCAGGAGCAGACAUGAUAAUUUGUGAUUUUGGAAUUUCUACU